GUGCAGCAGGCGCGAAACCUCCGCAAUGCUCGAAAGAGCGACGGGGGACUCCAAGUGCCUACGCUCAGCGUAGGCUGUUCCGAGCCUAAAAGCUCGGGGAGUAAGGGCUGGGUAAGACGGGUGCCGAGCCGCCGCGGUAAUACCCGCAGCCCGAGUGGUGGCCGCUAGUUAUUGGGCCUAAAGACGUCCGUAGCCGGCUCGGUAAAUGCCCUGGGGUAAAAUCGUCUGGCCCAACCAGACGAAUUCCGGGUAGACUGCCGGGCUAGGGACCGGAGGAGGGAGAGGGGUAACUCCAGGGGUAGGGGUGAAAUCAGCAAGGUGAGUUGCUGAUGUAACUUGCCUUGCAAGUCACAAUCCUGUAAUCCCCUGGA
rnacentral:rRNA from 1 species